rnacentral:rRNA from 1 species
AUUGAACGCUGGCGGCAGGCCUAACACAUGCAAGUCGAGCGGAUGAAGGGAGCUUGCUCCUGGAUUCAGCGGCGGACGGGUGAGUAAUGCCUAGGAAUCUGCCUGGUAGUGGGGGAUAACGUCCGGAAACGGGCGCUAAUACCGCAUACGUCCUGAGGGAGAAAGUGGGGGAUCUUCGGACCUCACGCUAUCAGAUGAGCCUAGGUCGGAUUAGCUAGUUGGUGGGGUAAAGGCCUACCAAGGCGACGAUCCGUAACUGGUCUGAGAGGAUGAUCAGUCACACUGGAACUGAGACACGGUCCAGACUCCUACGGGAGGCAGCAGUGGGGAAUAUUGGACAAUGGGCGAAAGCCUGAUCCAGCCAUGCCGCGUGUGUGAAGAAGGUCUUCGGAUUGUAAAGCACUUUAAGUUGGGAGGAAGGGCAGUAAGUUAAUACCUGGCUGUUUUGACGUUACCAACAGAAUAAACACCGGCUAACUUCGU